UUAGUUGAUAAAAAUUUAAUUAGAACAAUUAAUUAUUAGUAAACAAUUAAAAUUAAAAGAGAAAUUGAUUGACUAUUAUUAGAUAAGUUUCUGUGAAAAUAGAUCCAAAUGGUUAUGUAAAGAGCUGAGGUUUUGCCGGGAAAAUAAUUUCUUUUGUUUGAAAACGUUUCUAAUUGUUUUUGAUUGUGUUGGAUAAUUUUUCGUUGAUUGUCAUCGUAAUUAGAUAAUUUGAUUGCUUUUUAUUUGGAAAUUAAUCAACACAUGGAAUAGUUUGAGUGAAAAGGUUCUAAAUUGUUAUAAAAGGUCUGAAAUGUUUCCCCUUUAAGUGAUCAUAAGUCCGAUUACCUAUCCAUCUCAAUAGAAGUGACAGUUGUAACAUAAAUCUCAGAAACAUGGACACUCACUUAUUCAAUUUGGUGACAUUUUUUAUCUUUUUCGUCUAUCAUUACUUUUGUAUUGAUUUGACAAAGAAAAGGCUCUUUAUUAUUGAUCUGUGGAUAAUCAAAAAGGUGACACCAACAACAAGUAAGGACGAAGAUAUUACAAAGACAACGGUCUUUUGUGUAUAAUUUAUCAACCUAAUGGUUUAGAUGGAACUUGAAAUGGGAAAAGUGACUGAAAAUCCCGUUCAUUUGGAUCAUCAAAGUAAAUGAAUGCAAAAGGAUCAAUGGUGACAAUUAAAAGGAUGACGAUGACUCUGAAUACGUUGAUAAAUGUAUCGACCACUACAAGACUUAGUGAGAGAGAAACAGGAAGAGAGAGACAAAUCAUCCGAUUGGCAAAUCAUCAUUUGUUAAAUUGAUGAAUUGGUUUUAACUCUAUCAAUAGGAUGAUUAUGUUUAUUGUUGAUACACAUAAAUAUUCAUGCGAGUAAAUAUUAGCCUGGAAACAAAGUGAUUAGAUUUCUCAUCAGUGGCUUUAUUCCAAUUCUCUUUUGUUCUCUCUCUCUCUCAGUGUUUGUAAAUGAAUUAUUAUUAUGUAUCAUCCUCAGAAUUGAGACAAACAGAAGAGAUUCACUUGACUUGACUUGGACAUUCUAACCUUUCGAUUAUACUAAUUCCAAUAUCUUUCUCUCUUUACAUGUUUGAUCAACUAAAAUGACGAUUAAUUCAAAUGACCAUUUAUCUAUCAUCAUCAUUAUCAUUGUACUGGAAACAACUACCGACUCAUAUCAAUGGAACAUUUUGGUGACAAACAAUUCAUCCUAAUUUCACGGCUCAUUUUGCUGAAAGAUUGAAUAGAAAUACCUAAAUAAUGAUGGUCUCUAUGUUGAACCUGGAAUAUAACAAGACCACCACUACAAAUCAGCGUGAUACCUUGAAAGAGAAAAUAAAUAGAUGAAAGAAUAUGAAGAAACUGGGAGAGUCUGGAGCAGCAAAAGGCUGACACAAACCUCAACUAACAACAAUCAACAAUGAUGAUAAAAUCAGAUACCAAUCACAUUUAUUAUGUCGGGAGAGAGAGAGAGACCAAGAAAAGUGUCCAAAAUGGCGGAAAGAAAAAAGAAUCAACUGAUUUUCCCAGCUGAUAUCGAAUAUCAUUUCUAUUGAAAUUAUAUCGGCUAUCAUCUUUCCAGGUUCUCAUCCCAUGGUAAGGAACAUCUUCAUUACAUCAUCAUCAUCAUCUCACAUUGACAAGAAAAGGAAAAGGAGAGAGAGAGAGAGAGAGAGAGGGAGAUAGACACAUAUUUCAUCACCCAACGUGAGAGGGAAAAGAUGAGCAAAAAAGGAAGAUGAAAGGAUCUCUUUGUGGUAAACAAGUCAUUGAAAAUGAUGCCAGUUUACAAAAGAUAAACAAUAUUUGACCAGUAUCAUUUUCACCUUCAAUAUCCCACUGUCACACCACACAGAGCAUUCAUCCAUCCCCACCCUGAGUAAAGAUUGAUUCAAGGAUGAUACUGGAAUCGACCCAAUAACAAAAGGACAGUAACUACAAUAAUUUCAUCAAUCGAGUGGAAAGAAGCUGAAAACAAAGCCGAUAGAAAGUUAAUCUUCAUCAAUCGGAAACUUUGCUUGUACCAAAUGUAACAAUUAACAUUUGAAAUUCAGGAAAAGUGCUCAUUCAUCUCGACAAAUAUAAAUUCAAGUCUAUUACAUUUAAAGUGUUGCCACAAAUUCAAGAAUUUCGAUUCGCUCUGGAAAUUGCGAGUCAUCGUAAGAAUCUUCUCAGUAGAUUACCAUGUAACUUUAAUUCGCCUUCUCAUCAUCUUAUUUUCGCAUUUCUUUCAGAACUUUGUUUCCUUUGUUUUCUUCCUCAUCUUAUUUAGUUGUCGACAUUUGUUUCCCUCUUAAAACUUCACUAACUUCCAAUAGACAUGAAAGAGAUAAACAAAAUCUUAGAGUUAUCAAGAUUUACUGUUAUCUAGUUGGUUAGUUAAGAUUAUGAUUAAGAGACGAACUAAGGUUGUUGAACUACUAAUCCUAAUCAACUUGUUGGAUAGAAAGUUUGAAAAAUCGUUCGAUAUUGAGAUUAUCUUUGAUUAGAAUGGUUCUGAUAGAUGAAAACAUUUCAAUCUAUUAGAAUUUUUUUUCUUCCAAAUUUGAUAUUUCAUCAUAGUCUCAGCCUCCAGGCAACAACAACAUUAUCGUUACUGAGGAUCCAUUGAACAUGUAAUCAAGUUGAAUGUUUUUAACUGAUCAUGAGACAGAUUUGAUUCACAUCCAACUUGAUCAACAUUUUCCCUUCAAUUUAUUGGAUAAAUAAACAACAAUCAAAGUUGAUCUUUAUCGUUUCAAUCAUCAUGAUAAUCAUCAAUAAUCAAUUGAUGACUUGUCAGACUGAACCAAUUUUCAUGAUAAUAUUAAAUUUGUUUUACUUAUUAUAACAAACAAUUUAUUUAAUUUUCACCAUAAAUCAACAGAUUGAAUGAUAAACAAUCAAUGAUACUCAUUUGAUUAACUUUUAAUUUGAUUGUUAUCGUGAACUAAAUGACAAUUAGUUAUAUUUUCCUUGAAAGAAAUCAAAUUAAUUGUUGA